rnacentral:rRNA from 1 species
ACGCUGGCGGCAGGCCUAACACAUGCAAGUCGAGCGGAUGAGAGGAGCUUGCUCCUUGAUUUAGCGGCGGACGGGUGAGUAAUGCCUAGGAAUCUGCCUGGUAGUGGGGGAUAACGUUCCGAAAGGAACGCUAAUACCGCAUACGUCCUACGGGAGAAAGCAGGGGACCUUCGGGCCUUGCGCUAUCAGAUGAGCCUAGGUCGGAUUAGCUAGUUGGUGAGGUAAUGGCUCACCAAGGCGACGAUCCGUAACUGGUCUGAGAGGAUGAUCAGUCACACUGGAACUGAGACACGGUCCAGACUCCUACGGGAGGCAGCAGUGGGGAAUAUUGGACAAUGGGCGAAAGCCUGAUCCAGCCAUGCCGCGUGUGUGAAGAAGGUCUUCGGAUUGUAAAGCACUUUAAGUUGGGAGGAAGGGCAUUAACCUAAUACGUUAGUGUUUUGACGUUACCGACAGAAUAAGCACCGGCUAACUUCGUGCCAGCAGCCGCGGUAAUACGAAGGGUGCAAGCGUUAAUCGGAAUUACUGGGCGUAAAGCGCGCGUAGGUGGUUCGUUAAGUUGGAUGUGAAAGCCCCGGGCUCAACCUGGGAACUGCAUCCAAAACUGGCGAGCUAGAGUACGGUAGAGGGUGGUGGAAUUUC